rnacentral:rRNA from 1 species
UACGGAGGGUGCGAGCGUUGUCCGGAAUCACUGGGCGUAAAGGGCGCGUAGGCGGCGCGAGCAGUCGGCGGUGAAAGCCCGGAGCUCAACUCCGGGUCGGCCGUCGAUACUCUCGUGCUUGAGCACUGUAGAGGCAGGUGGAAUUCCGGGUGUAGCGGUGGAAUGCGUAGAGAUCCGGAAGAACACCGGUGGCGAAGGCGGCCUGCUGGGCAGUAGCUGACGCUGAUGCGCGAAAGCUAGGGGAGCAAACAGG